UACGUAGGGUGCAAGCGUUUAAUCGGAAUUACUGGGCGUAAAGCGUGCGCAGGCGGUUUUGUAAGUCUGUCGUGAAAUCCCCGGGCUCAACCUGGGAAUUGCGAUGGAGACUGCAAGGCUAGAAUCUGGCAGAGGGGGGUAGAAUUCCACGUGUAGCAGUGAAAUGCGUAGAGAUGUGGAGGAACACCGAUGGCGAAGGCAGCCCCCUGGGCCAAUACUGACGCUCAUGCACGAAAGGCGUGGGGAGCAAACAGG
rnacentral:rRNA from 1 species